CCUCUCUACAGAAACCGUGUGUUGCUGUUUGGAUCACUGCACAACUCAGCAGCCCCCCAUACAUCUUGUAAUUCCCCCCAUAAAGCUUAUGAAAUUGAUUUUAGGUACAAGCCUUCGAGUCCUCUACUGCUCUGUUGCAUGUGAUUUGUUAUAGAUAAUUGUUAUGCUAUAAUUAUGCCAAAAACCGUGACUCUAAAGCUACAACUCUAUCUGCCUACUUGACUCUUAAUACUGAUGCAGAAGUUCCACAGUGCCUGGCUAUACAAUCCAGAAUUAUCUCUUAAUCCAAGCAUAGCAACGUGUACUUCUCUGUUAGCCAUCUGAAUUCCACGGUGGUGUUCACCGCGUAAAGUCGUUACGUAACGGACCAAACGGGUUCUUGUUCCAACCGGAUAAAGGGACUUAAAAACCUGAGUUGGCACAUCCUUGAUCAUAGAGCAGCCCUGGCCUAGUCCAGUACGUUGUGACUAGUCAUAUGUGCUAGCGUCGAUGCGUUCAGACAUUUGAGCCCUCUCCGGUGACCAAUUGGGGGAAAAUGUUGUUGAGGAGGUUUCCUUGGAGCAAGAGUUGGAGGAUGUUGAUGAUGCAGUAUAGUAUUUUUAGGAUUUCUAAAUUUAAGUUGAUGUUAUUUUGAAGUACUAUAAGCUGUUUAAGUUUUAAGUUCUGUCCUUUUGUGGAUGAUUGUAAUAUCAACUACUGAACUACUAUUCUACUCUUAUAUGUGGACGCCUAAG